rnacentral:lncRNA from 1 species
GGGGGCCCCUGUUAAUGGGUGGCAGGUCGGUGCGGGCCAGGACGCUGAGCAGGGCCACUGUCGCCCAAUGCAGGUUCCGAGCUGUGGCCCACGCAGAGCCACCACUGUCACACUUGCUCCACCUCCCUGCCACCCGCGCAAUGGAAAGUGUGAAACGCUCAGUCCUGCAAACUUGACCCAGAAGCAUGCGCGCGAGAGGCUGCGAUCAAGAAAUCUGAACCUGAAAAUGCGUGUUACCACUUCUGGUUACGUGUAUCUUUCUGUAUCUACUUACAGUCCUUAGAAGGAAGAAAUUGGUUUGAGGAUGCAUCUCACAGGAGUUACAGUCAGAGGAAAUGGCCCCACUCCGAUCUAGGCUCGGAAAAGAAAUAGGAGAAUACCUGAGACUUUGGUACUAUUUUUGUACACCCUGCCCAGCAUAAUAAUAAAAAGUUUGUUAACCU